GCCUGUAGUCCCAUACAACUGAAAGACAUAGCUAAUAUUAAACCAUUCUAUUAAUGCAUGACAAAGCAUUUGUUUCCUUGUUAUAAAAAAAUGAGUUGCUUCAGAUGAGUAUUUUGUUUGACGUUUGGAUAAUAUUAAUAUCUUUCAAUACAGAUUCAGAAGCUUCUGUGGAUGUGUGGAUCACGUUCUGUGCAUCUUUUUAUGCUCUACACGCUCGAUACGGAGUAGGCUGGUCAUCCCCUUAACCUCCGUUACAUAUAUGCUGCUGAGUUCAUCGAUGUAAUUAGCCCAUAUCCCUGCAUCUGAGAUUUAACAGACAGAAUUAAAACCAGCCCAUUUGAAACAUAACUUUGCUAAAACGUCUAACAAACAUGUAUGUUCUUUAACUUAGGGAAUCCCCUGAAAUGAUGUCCCAGUAAGCCGUAUUAGCAGUGGACUAGUGUUAUUCAUGUACUCACUAUCAAAUUGUGCCUACACCAUGAAUAAGCUAGGACAGCAUAGGCCAUGGGACACUUCAACAGCAGAAAGGUGAGUCGCAACCAGGCUACUCAUAGACAAGCGUACAGAGAACAAUAUGCAUAGAACGUGAUGUGUUCUAGAGGUAAGUCAAAAGACAAUUCUGCAGAAGGAAAUGUGUACUGAUGUAUGAACAUACACAAGAACAAAUAGACUUGAAUUACUUUACAAUACCCACGGGAAAAUGAUAGGAUUAAAGGAUAAUAAAGCCUUGUGUCCUAAAUUAGGAUGGAUAAUUUCACAGGGUAAACCCUUAAUUUCAACCUUAGCAUGCAGUGCACUCACAUAUUAUUCCAGAUAUUUGUGAGAAAAGAUGCAUUUGUGGACUUUCUUUGAACCUCCCAUUGGUCUGAAUGUGUAAUAUGUUGUUCAGAUGAGUAUAAUAUGUUAUCACUAACAUACCUCAGGUAGCACUGAAAUCCCAAGUUCAAAGGGGUGUGAUGAUGAUAUGGGGCACAUAUCUGCACAUACGUGACACAUUGCACAGUAUUUGGGGAUCAGUUUUGACUCAAUCCAGUCAAAAAUCGCACAAUGCAUCUUUAAUUUAUUUCAAACCUUUUAUUUCAAACAUUACUGUCACCCAAUGACAGUAAUUUAAUGGCAGAAAGAACAGUUCUGAAAAAGUUCAUUUUGCAAGCC
ensembl:lncRNA